CGAUGCCUAAGACAUGCAAGUCGAACGGAGCGGCCUAUUGAAGAUGGAGUGCUUGCACAAAGUUGGAUUUAGAUUCCCGCUCAGUGGCAGACGGGUGAGUAACACGUGGGUAAUCUACCCUAGAGACUGGGACAACAGUUGGAAACGACUGCUAAUACCGGAUAAUUUAUACCAAGAUAACUAGGUAUACUAAAAGGAGCCUUUAAAGCUUCACUCUAGGAUGAGCUUGCGGCGCAUUAGCUAGUUGGUAGGGUAAUGGCCUACCAAGGCAACGAUGCGUAUCCGAGCUGAGAGGCUGAUCGGACACACUGGGACUGAGACACGGCCCAGACUCCUACGGGAGACAGCAGUUAGGAAUAUUCGUCAAUGGGGGGAACCCUGAACGAGCAAUGCCGCGUGAGUGAAUGAAGGUCUUAUAGAUCGUAAAACUCUGUUGUAAGGAACGAAACCACGAUAUAGGAAAUGCUAUCGUGCUGACGGUACCUUACCAGAAAGCCCCGGCUAACUACGUGCCAGCCGCCGC
rnacentral:rRNA from 1 species